rnacentral:sRNA from 1 species
GGUAAAAUGUUUAUGUGUAAAACAAGGACACGUGACAGAGAUCUCAAAACAAUGACACAAGUAAAAGGUUGUUUUAUAAAAUGUUGUAGACACACAUUUGUAGAAAGUGAAACAAAACCAACAUUUAAAAAUUAUCCCAAACAUUGAGUUCGAAAUGUGAAAAGUGACUUCAAAUAGUUCAUGCAUAAGAAAAGGAAGAAUGUCAUUUGGAAAUUUUAAAAAUGUAUUUAUGUGAAGACAUUGAGUCAUAGUAUUAUCUGUCAAACGUCAAAAACUCCAAAUCAUAUCAGAGGGGGUUCAAUGAUUUUUAGAUAAACUUGCAUGUGUCUUAGAGUGUGUUUAAGUGUUUCUUUGAGUGUGUUUAAGUGUUUCUUAGAGUGUGUCUAAGGGUAUCUUUAAAUGUGUCUAAGGGAAACAUUAAAGAGUGGAGAAACUCUCCGGAGCUCUCUACUCUAUAGCAUUAGACUAAUGGGUAGAGGUCUGAGUCACAUUUCACUAUCAUUUUAUAUUUAUCUUCAUUGCCUGACCUACUUUCCUAGUAGUCCAUAUUCACUUGUAAUUACAGAUGUAUUCGUUUGUUUUGGGGGAAAGAAAAGAAAACUUUGUUCAACUACCUCUUUGUGUACUUCAAAAGUUUGGAGGUCACUCAGCAGGACGUACCACCCCCCUUCCUAUUCACACCACCAACACUCUCGGCUACAUCAUCUCCUGUUUCUAGGUUUCUUGAACAGCCCAGUUCCUCUUCACAUGGGGCUUCUAGGAAGUCUCCAGCACAGAGCCACAUGCUAUGGGAAAGUGAAUUUAGUUCAACAGUGCGAGCAUUCAGUAUCUAGGUCAACUUCUAGAAUCACCGAGCAUUCAGUAUCUAGGUCAACUUCUAGAAUCACCGAGCAUUCAGUAUCUAGGUCAACUUCUAGAAUCACCGAGCAUUCAGUAUCUAGGUCAACUUCUAGAAUCACCGAGCAUUCAGUAUCUAGGUCAACUUCUAGAAUCACCUAUCUCAUGUACACAUACACAGGAUACACCCUAGAAAUAUGGGUACAUUACCAUUGUAUCACUUCAUUCACCAUUGUCAUUAGGCUGGACAAUAAUUAUCAAUAAGUUAAAAGAAAGUUCUUUGCAAAAAAUUUAAAAAAAAUUGAAAUAUAAAAGAUUGAAAACAAUGAUUGUGGUAAGUCUUAAACAAAAUGUAAUGAUGUGUAACUCUGAAUAAUUUGUCUGCAGAGUUAUCUCCCUUCUUCCAAAUUAAAUAUAUUUAUAUAAAUUAUUUCUUGACAAAGCUUUGUUCUGUUAGUACAGUUAGUAUUCAUGUAAACAAUCUCCAUAUUUACAAAUGUGAUUUUAAAUGUAAGCAAAUUUAUAUUUGCAUCAUACUAAGUCAAACUAUAUAGUGUUUUCAACACCUGGGAAUGAUCUAAAAGCAUACGUUUAAAUACAUUUUUAGCACAAGUCUCUUGAUUAUGUGGCCAUCGCUUCAAUCGGACAAUACAAAGAUCACUGGCCUGCAUUUUUAUCUCUACUAAAUUGAUAACAACUACAACAGGGACUCACAUCACUGAAUGCUGAGUGAAAACUUGAGUGAAAUAAUUCACCAGGAUUUGAACAGAACAGCUAAACUAAUCAAUUUUUUUUGUAAAUUGAUUUGAUUGUAUGAACAGAAAAUGCAUAUCAGCUUUGUACAGGCAUAUAUAUAUAUAUAUUUAAACAAAAACACAGCAGUGGAAUAUUGAGAAGCAUACAAAACAAUACAUCUUGCAUAUAUCACAAAACAUGGGGCAUUCUCUCUUUCAUUAUGUAAAUACUUUGUGACUGACUUUAAACUGAAACAUGUCAACAUGUGACAUUAAUAUGCGUGACCAUUAAAUAAUAAACAAGCUCUCUAUAUAUAUGUAUAUACAUCAAUAACAAAUAGACUGAAGUGUUCUCUUGUUACUUAAAUUAUAUCACAGGCAUGUCCAGUAGUAUGUGAACAGCGAAGCUGGGAUGAAAAUGGAGACCUUCAAUGAAAUGUUUAAGUUUUAUGGAAAUUGUUUCAUGUUUAAAAUGUCACAGCUAUGUUAACUGCUGUUUCUGUUUUGUUAACUACUGUUUAUGACUGAAGGUUUAAAGAAA